CUGAAUUUUCUGAGGUUCAGUUCAUCUGCGUGAAUAUCUUCUUCAGUUUAUCGCUGUGAAGUUCAGGAAUGCUUUGUGGUCUGGUUGGUGCGCAGAUAAAUUCUUGGAUGAUUUGCAUUUUCGAAUACCAAAAUAGGGUAGAAAUCGUCAUUGUCUAGAUGAGAAGUUCAAUUUUCAUUGUCGGUCUGUUCAUCACACUAAAAAGGCACUUCUUUCGUACUGGAUUCGUGUGCAGCCGAGGUUCCAUUCUUCUUCUGCUACUGGGAGUGAUGACAACACUUGGAGCUCCAUUUGGAUUGAUGAAUUGAAAAAGAAACGAAACAGAAGGACCACUGUGCAGCAAGGUCGGUGAGCAGCAGGCUGGUAUUCAUUGUCCAUCUGGUGGAUUCCAGGAGGUGUUCAAUUGGGGGAUCCUAAUAUCCCAGGCCUCUUCUCAUACUUGCGACCUCAUCUGCUGGCGUGUACCUGCUCUUCGGCGUGGAGUGGACGAGAGACUCUCUUCCUGGUCCUCCUCUGAAAUGCCAGCAGAGCAUAUACAUCUGGACCUCCACUGCCAUCCUCCUACAACGUCGAGGAUCAGACAAAGUUCACCGACACCGCCACAUGGAGUCCACCGAUGGAGUCGAAAAAGUUCACAGGCGCCUAAUUGCUGUCUUUGGAUUAUAUAUAACAUAUGCUCGUGCAGGUGUAUUGCAUGAAUUUUUAGUGAAGAAGUACAUGCAUAUGUUGAUGUCAAGUAAAGUUAAGAGAGAGAAAGCAAGAGCGCGAAGAUUAAAUAGCAUGAUUGAAAGUUCAGAGAUGCCUCAUCAAAAUUUUGCACUAUUCUGUAUGUCUUUUUCUCCCAAUCGAGGCCUGGAGAAAAUGUAUCCAGUGUAGUGUUGACAAAAAUGUAUUUUUGAUUUAUCAUGUGUAACUUCACUUGAUG